GACGAGUCGGGUCGUGCCCAGAUACUGAACAUCCACACAGCCAAAAUGAGGCAGUCCAACAAGUUAGCAAGUGACGUUGACAUUGAGGAGCUGGCCAACAUGACCCAGAACUUCACUGGGGCAGACUUAGCAGGACUUGUCCGAGCGGCACAGUCCCGUGCUUCAAGCCGUGUCAUCAAGUUCAGUAAUAACCAGGUGGGGGGGACACUAAAAAGCUCCAGUCGCUGCAGGUCACCCGAAGUGACUUCUUUGAGGCGUUGAAAAAGGACAUCAAACCUAUAGACUGGACUGAAAAGGAGGAUCUAAAAGACUGGGAAGAUGAUGAAGAAUGCGACCUGCUGGUGGAGGACCUUAUUCAGUGCCCACCGAUUUUAAACAAGGAAGAAGCAGAAGAAGUAGAAGUAGGAGAAGAACAAGUAGUAGUAGAAGAAGAAUCAGUAGAAGA